rnacentral:rRNA from 1 species
UACGUAGGGGGCAAGCGUUGUCCGGAAUUAUUGGGCGUAAAGAGCUCGUAGGCGGUGUGUCACGUCGUUCGUGAAAACCUGCAGCUUAACUGUGGGCGUGCGGUCGAUACGGGCAUCACUGGAGUUCGGCAGGGGAGACUGGAAUUCCUGGUGUAGCGGUGAAAUGCGCAGAUAUCAGGAAGAACACCCGUGGCUAAGGCGGCUCUCUAGUACGGUACUGACGCUGAGACGCGAAAGCGUGGGGAGCGAACAGG